GGGUUCUACCGUUGGUCGGGCUUUGUCUGUACUGGCGUGUGGAAUUUCUACCUUCUGGGGAACUAUCAUGUUAUAAUUUAACGUGGUAGGAAACCAGGACCUUUACCUUGAAAAAUUAGAGUGUUCAAAGCAGGCUUAUGUCUAAAUACAUUAGCAUGGAAUAAUAAAAUAGGACGGUGGUCCUGUUUUGUUGGUUUCUGAAUCACCGUAAUGAUUAAUAGGGAUAGUUGGGC
rnacentral:rRNA from 1 species